rnacentral:rRNA from 1 species
UACGUAGGUGACAAGCGUUGUCCGGAUUUACUGGGCGUAAAGAGCGCGCAGGCGGUCGAUCAAGUCGAGUGUGAAAGCCCCCGGCUCAACUGGGGAGGGUCAUUCGAUACUGAUCGACUCGAAGGCAGGAGAGGGUAGUGGAAUUCCUGGUGUAGCGGUGGAAUGCGUAGAUAUCAGGAAGAACACCGGUGGCGAAGGCGGCUCGCUGGGCCAGUUCUGACACUCAUCCGCGAAAGCGUGGGGAGCAAACAGG